AGAACCCGAGGUUCCAAAAGAGAAAGUUAAACCAGCUCCUGUAAAGAAAGAGGUUACAAAAGAGCAAGGUAAACCAGCUCCUGUAAAGAAAAGAAAAGAAUUGGGGGUUCCAAAAGAGAAAGUUAAACCAGCUCUUGUAAAGAAAG